GACGAACGCUGGCGGCGUGCUUAACACAUGCAAGUCGAACGGUAAGGCCCUUCGGGGUACACGAGUGGCGAACGGGUGAGUAACACGUGGGUGAUCUGCCCUGCACUUCGGGAUAAGCCUGGGAAACUGGGUCUAAUACCGGAUAGGACUCCUGGCUUCAUGGUUGGGGGUGGAAAGCUUUUGCGGUGUGGGAUGGGCCCGCGGCCUAUCAGCUUGUUGGUGGGGUAAUGGCCUACCAAGGCGACGACGGGUAGCCGGCCUGAGAGGGUGACCGGUCACACUGGGACUGAGAUACGGCCCAGACUCCUACGGGAGGCAGUAGUGGGGAAUAUUGCACAAUGGGCGCAAGCCUGAUGCAGCGACGCCGCGUGAGGGAUGACGGCCUUCGGGUUGUAAACCUCUUUCAGCUAUGACGAAGCGCAAGUGACGGUAGUAGCAGAAGAAGGACCGGCCAACUACGUGCCAGCAGCCGCCGUAACAC
rnacentral:rRNA from 1 species